rnacentral:lncRNA from 1 species
GGGGGGGGGGGGGGGGGGGGGGGGGGGGGGGGGGGGGGGGGGGGGGGGGGGGGGGGGGGGGGGGGGGGGGGGGGGGGGGGGGGGGGGCGGCGGAGGCGAGGCCGCGGAGCGCGGGGGCCGCGGGGCACGGGCAGGGACAGCGGCCCCGCUCCCUCGCACUGACGUGGAAACCGGCGCACCGUGACCCGCUGCCUGGUUACUGCGCAGACAGACAGCCCGCACAGCCAACCCGCGCACGGUGCGCCACGCAGCUCCCCGCGGCGCCCAAUGGGAACGCGGCCUGCCACCGGAGGAGGCGGGCUCUGCGGUGACAGCGGCGCGCAGCCAAUGAGAGCCGGCACGGUAGAACCAGCAGGCCCGCUGACCAAUGGCGCUGCGGUGCGGCGCCGCAGCCGUGCCCGGGCGGAAGCCGGCGGGAGGGCCGUCCUCGCAAAGCAUUGUGGGCCGGCUACGGGGCGUGUGGGGAGCGGGGGCCGCCCCGAGCGGAGCGGAGCGGGUGACGGUGACGGUGACGGUGACAGCGACAGCGCUGGGGCUGCACCGCCCGCGGGGGAAGCCGUGCCUCUCCGCCGUGCCUCGCGACUGUUUCCCGGCUUGUUCUACAGCCUCUUGCAGCUCCGCCGCUGGAGCCGUUUGGGAGAUGAUCGCCUGCAAGCGUUCUGUUCCCUCCUGAGCACCUCCCUGUGUCCCAGCUCUGCUGUUUUCCGCCGCAGGUGCUAACAGCCUGGUGGUAUUUGCCAGACAUUUUGAAAUCCACAGGAGUUCAUCUGCCACUCCAUCCAUCUGCUCCCUGCUCUGGAAAGUGGAUUUCAGGUGCUGGCUUAGCCACUGUAUACCUUGCAGCUGAGUCCAGGUUUGUCAAGCCUGCCUGACCUGCCAAGAAAGGGUCUGGACCCCCUUCCACGCCUUCUUGCCCCUUCCGGUGCCCGCUGUGUAGCUCAGGCUCCCACCCAGUCAGAUCUGGUGAAUUGGACCCUGCUAAGGUGUUAUUUAUGGAAGCCUGUCACGGAGUUUGAAACCAAGCCAGGCAGGAACCUUCUGCUUCACCCAAAUGCAUCUUAGUGCAUUAAUAAAGAGCAAACAUUGCAAUGUGCUUUGCAUUUUUACUUACAAUCCAGCACUGCAUUGUCUGGAGAGAAACACAAUGUGGUAUGGCCCCACACUGUCUGGGGAGGAGAGUUCAUUCACACGCACUACAGCACUGUUAGUCAGCCCUCAGACAGCCCAGCACCACCCUGAUUGCACAGAAAAUCCUGCUGAUGUGACAGUGUGGCACCAACAUCCCCAACCUGGCAGCAGUGGGGAAACCUGGAUUGCCUGGGCUGCAUGAUCCAGCAGUGUUUGAAGUGAGCGGUGCACAGCAAUGGGCACAUGUGGGCAAGUGGGAGCACUCUGCACCAAAAAAUCCUGUAGGACCAGGACGAUCUUUUGUCACUUUAUUUCCAAGAUAAUGCACUGGUUCUUACACACAACAUGGUACAAUGAAACUAAAUAUCAGACAAGUAGUCUGUGGAAAUCCCCCAGGUUCCUACUAUCUGGUCAGGAAAGCUCGGCUUUAUCUUCACUGCAAAGAUGCAGCUUUUCAGCAGCUUCUCUCUUGAGUAUUCCUCCUUAGCCCACAAGGAGGAAGGGCUGCAAACUCACCAAACUCACUGACAGUCAUCCCCUCAGGCCUUUCCCACGUACCUGGUCAGCUCACCUGCUUUCAUCUGAGACAUCUGAGCAGCCAGCCCCUUGCAAAGAGCAGUGUCUCCAUGUCACACCAACUGCUUGUCUUUGGUGAGACUGUCAGAAAUCCACGCUGCCAACCACCUGCAUCUCUGCAAUAUGCACCAGCCUUGCACAGUCCAUUACUCUUACUCUUGCUCAGGCACUACCAAUUCAAUGGUUAUCUUCAGAGCCCAGAUAUCAGACCCAUGGGCACUUAUAACACAGAAAUUUUCCAGCAGGUUAAGUAGCCUGAGAGAGGUUAAACUUCUUCCCCUCCUCUUGGAGGCUUUUGCUGUUUCUCAGAGGCUUAGUUAGGUCUCUAAAUAAAAGAACAGAAAGAUGGAGUUUCUCAGAAAGUACAAGCAGUUGUCAUGGCUAGAAACUAUGUGCAACCGCUCUCCCCAGAGCUAAGCAUCCCAAAAACACUACUGAAUGUGUGCAGAAAACAGUGUUUCUAAGCAGCUGCUCCUUUCCAGAGCAAGCUCAGGUAGAGAUUAGCCAAAGCCAGCCGAAGGAUCUCUGAAGGAAAACUGAUGUACAGCAUCUGACACAACCUGAAUCCAAGUCAGGACCUAUAGCUGAAACAACAGAGCUGCUGUUGCAGAAACAAAAGUAUUAAAACACUUCUAUGAAAACUACACAAACUCUUAAAAACGGUACAAAUGAUGCCAAGUACAAUAUCAAAGCUGCAGAGCAGACUCCUAAAUCUAACAUACCCUGCCAGCUGUUCAACUUAGCCUGCGUCUCCAGAACACUCCUGCACUUCCCAGUGACAUCAAACUCCCCCAGUGAACUUCCCAGUGUAAUGUUUUCAUUGUCUCUUCUUGGCCAAGGCAAGCCCUGCCUUUUUGGCAGGAGCAAGCCAGGCUCAGUUAGUCAUAUCUUUGUCACUUCUUGGCUAGACUACAGCUACGUGAUACACCUGGGCAUGAAGCCCACAGUGAUUGUCAAAUGCCAGCUAGAAGAGCAUGCUGCAGUGGGAGCCCUGGCUGCCACAAGUGCAUCAAACCUACCUCUGCUCUCUAGGCCACCUUUUGACAUGAAAGCCAAGCCAAAUUCAAGCUUGAGUCCUGAUCUUUAAGGCAUUUGAUGGCAUGGACCCAGCGUGGCUAAAAGAUCAGUUAAGACACAGAGAUGGAAACUGUGAUCAUCAACAACUCCACCACACUCCAAGAACAGUGAACCCAUCCAGCGUGAGGACCAUGUUUGUUUGUGGCAGAGACAGGGUCUUCUCUGAGAACAAGCUCUUCCCAGCUGGUGAAAAAGGAAGGCUGUCUAAGAUGCUGAGUAAUUCCCUUCUUUUGCAUAUGCUAUCUCUCUGCCAAGACAUGAAUCAGGGUCACUCCUGGUUUUGUUUGCUUUUGCUUUUUUCUUUCUCUUCUAUUUUAUUUUAUCUAAAGUAGUAACAUCGGUCUCCUGAACCCAUGUGAAAUUCUUGGUCUCUUCUCCAACAAUGAAGUCUCCUGCUGGCAAGACAAGAUGCACUACAGCUAAGAAGUGUUGGCACUAACCAACAAGAUCUACAUUUCAACGACAAGCAUGAGAGCCCUCCCUCCCAAAGACACUCUUCAGGGGUCAGUCCAGCAGUUGAAUUGAGGAUGUCUUGAUGAUAGACUCCUUCUGCAGGUCCCUGGAUGGUCUAAUCCAACAGUCUUUACACUGUGUUCCACAGGGAACCAACUUGUGACAUAAUGUCCAAGGGAAAUAGCUAAAAAUACAUUUGUUACAUUAUUACUUGUACGCACAAGCUCCAUUUGCUGCAGGCUACUGAUGGGGACAGGUUUGGAGGGAGAGGGAGGCAACUGAAAAUAAGGUCCCUUCAUUGCUGCAUAUAAGGUCCCUUAUGCACGGUUUUGUGCUUCCCUGUGGCAUGUGGUGAUACCGACAGACUGCCCCGCGGAAAGUGCUAGUGCUGUUACACUGUGUCUGCUUCUCUUAAUGCAGACAAACCUAUGCCGGGGUGGAUUACAAUCUGAGCUAGAAACAGAUGUGGUCUAGUUUGCUGUCAUUUUUGGCAGGCAAAAGAGCAGUAAGGCAAAAACAAACCCCAGAUUACUACCAUUAAAAAGCCAUGGUAAUUUCUGGCAAGUGUGUCAACGUUGUGAUUCCUUUUAAACUCUCUGUGGUUCUUCUGAAUUACCAUGUCAGUGCAUGUUUUUGAGCAGUAAUCCAUGAUGCCUGGGUAUGCUUAACCUGUUUUUACAUCCUAACUUUGUGUGCCUCGUUGCUUCGUGUGCGUUUGUCUUCCCAUGUGUAUCUUUAUGGCAUGUUAUGCAUUUAUUAGGCUCCAUAAAUAUGACUGGUAAAUAAUUCGGGGUUAAAAUUCACUACUAUUCUCACAACAUUAUUUCCUAAUCUUUAAAAUAUGUCAGUGGAAGAGCUCGAGGGUGACCUUUGACAUCAUAAAUUGGAGAGCAGGUUGACAUGGGAAUGACCUCAAGAAAAUCAGACCGUAGAAUCACACAUCGAGCUUCAGAAGAGCCUGACAGGGAUCCCCUGGGCUCCCGGAGCAGGACAGAGAGCUGAGCCUGGCUUCUACAAACUUCUCCCUGUAAGCACUGGGAGAGAGGGAACCUGUUUAGUUAAGUAAAAUGUGUUUAGUGGAGUAAAAUGUGUGUGCCGACACGUUCCAGGGCUGCUGUAGCAGGUUCAAGCAUUUGGGGACAUUUCAGUGAGUGAUCGCACCCUACACUCCUGCACCGGGAUUUUGCCGGUGAACUUCAGUAGAAGCCAGGCUGGAAUCUAAGCUACAGCAGCGUCUGGGCUCCAAAAGACCCAUCAGUGGGCUGAAGCGCGGUGUUUUUCGCACAGCCGUGCGUCCCGGUAGGAGCGGCACAGCAUUGGCAGAGAAGCGUUUCCCGGUACCGCCUAGAGCCGCAACAGUGCGUGCGGUACCUAGCCUGUGAUUGAGCAUCCCCUGCAACUGCUGCUCCCUCGUGCAGCGGAACGCUUCCAACUGCUUCCAGCUCACUACGGACUUGGUUCCCCCAAAAAACCUCUCUCUGGCUCGGACUGCAAAACCCGAACAGGCUCGCCGCGCCAGUACUGAGAGGAGCGGAUGCUGAGCACCAGGGUCGCGAAUGGCCAAGCACCGAGCAAGGCAGGCAGUCUGUGCACUGUAGGAGCGGUGUAUCAGGGCACACGCACAGCAGUUCCGUGCCCGUGCACCCGGGGCUGGCGGAGCGCGGACCCCGCGCCCCGGACGCGCUCCGCACCCGCCCGCGGCUCAC